CCUACGGGUGGCAGCAGUGAGGAAUAUUGGUCAAUGGGCGGAAGCCUGAACCAGCCAAGUCGCGUGAGGGAUUAAGGCCCUAUGGGUCGUAAACCUCUUUUGUCAGGGAGCAAUGGCGUCCACGUGUGGGCGAAUGGAGAGUACCUGAAGAAAAAGCAUCGGCUAACUCCGUGCCAGCAGCCGCGGUAAUACGGAGGAUGCGAGCGUUAUCCGGAUUUAUUGGGUUUAAAGGGAGGGUAGACGGCGCGGCAAGUCUGGAGUGAAAGGCAGGGGCUUAACCCCUGAACUGCUUUGGAAACUGCCAUGCUUGAGUGCUGGAGAGGUAAGUGGAAUUCCUAGUGUAGCGGUGAAAUGCGUAGAUAUUAGGAGGAACACCAGUGGCGAAGGCGGCUUACUGGACAGUAACUGACGUUGAGGCUCGAAAGCGUGGGGAGCAAACAGGAUUAGAUACCCCAGUAGUC
rnacentral:rRNA from 1 species